rnacentral:rRNA from 1 species
CCUACGGGUGGCAGCAGUGGGGGAUAUUGCACAAUGGGGGGAACCCUGAUGCAGCGACGCCGCGUGGGUGAAGGAGCGUUUCGGCGCGUAAAGCCCUAUCGGCAGGGAAGAAGAUGACGGUACCUGACCAAGAAGCCCCGGCUAACUACGUGCCAGCAGCCGCGGUAAUACGUAGGGGGCAAGCGUUAUCCGGAUUUACUGGGUGUAAAGGGGGCGCAGACGGCAAUGCAAGCCAGGAGUGAAAGCCCGGGGCCCAACCCCGGGACUGCUCUGGGAACUGCAUGGCGGGAGGACAGGAGGGGCAGGCGGAAUGCGGGGUGGAGAGGGGAAAUGCUGAGAUAGUGGGAGG